UCUGAGAUGCAUAUUUAUAUUUAUAUAAAUUAACAAAAUUUGUCAUAAAACAUGGCCGCCAUUAAUCAAAGAACUUCCUACUGGGCGGGGCUAGCAGGGAAUUGCCUAUAACUCAAGUUCUGCCGUA